GAACUUCCAACAUGCUGCUCCCCUGCCUUCUGAGAGUUGUCAUAGCCUCUAUCUGCCUUGGAUCCAGUGUGUCCCAGAAGAUAACUCAAGCCCGUGCUACAAUUUCUAUGCUGGAGAGGAAGAUUUUCCUCACAGGGCACUAUUUACAGGUUUGCCAUUUAGGUGGUCCCCAUCUUUUUGGCACGGACAC